UUCAUCACUUAUCUACUCAUUACAAUACACCUCUAGUCAGGUCAUUCAUCCUAGACAUUUUGGGCUCCACUAUGCUAUGUACAAAACUGCAACUGCAGACAUUUUUGAGAUGCAGGGAUAAAAUGUGCUCAGUCUUAGUCCUGUCACCUGUUUACAAGGUCAUGUGGAUGACCCCAUGCUGGGGAAGAAUGAGCCACUUCACAGCUUCCUUUUAAUUUUCAGCAAGUGAACAUAUUUGUUUGUUGGUUAUUGCUAGUCUCUACAUGCAGAUCUAAAGCUGUUGAAAAGAGUAACUGCUUCAAUUAAAGGUUAAAGGUGGGCUUUUCAAGUUAUUAUAUUUGAACUGAUCAUAAUUGGUGUCACACUCCAGCGAUGUUUGCACUGAUCUCAUUGCAAUUACAUUACUGUUCCUUACACUGGUUCAAUGCCUAAAUGAAAACGAAACUGUCUCAGUGGUAGAACUGAAUGCAGGUUUUCUCUUUGUCCUUCAAAAAACAACAACCUCUGCAUUUUAUUUUUUAACAUGUGUUGGUCAGUCAUUAUCAUCAGUGACAUAUUUAAUUACAGUGGUUUGGAAGGUAUGGAAACACAGACAUUAAUCAAAGCAUAUUCAUCAGAUCAGGUCUGGUGAGGGAAAGAAGCGCACUGGGCGAGUUCCUGCUAAUUAGCAUGGCAAUUAUUGUAAGCUGUCACAGUUCUUAAGCAACGGGGUGGACUGUGUGUGCUCCAGAGCGUAAUCCCUCACAAAUUACAAGAUAAUGGAGGCAAAGAGAGGCCACUGCUUCAAAAGGAACCAGGAGAUAGAAUCCCCAGCAGGGACAUUUUAGGGACAGGCAGGGAGAGAGACAGUGAGUGAGGGAAAGGUAGGGGAAAGUACUGCAUGUAUUCUCUUCAAACAGAGCAGUCUGAAUAGGAGAGGUUCAUUUGUCUGCAUAGCUGUUCCUCUUUUAUCACAUUGUGCUUUUGUACUAUAGCUGUAAAAAGAAUUUUGAAGAUAGUGGCCAACAAAAAAAUUAUGUUUGACUCUAUAUCUCAGUGUACCGCAUGAGUUCAGUGGGCAGUUCAGCUAAAAACCAAAGAUCAAUAGUCCUCUCUCCUUGAGUUCAGCAUGUGGUAUGCUUAUCUAUGGUGGAAAACACACUAUUAAAAGCUUAUUCUAACUA